rnacentral:rRNA from 1 species
AUUGAACGCUGGCGGCAUGCCUUACACAUGCAAGUCGAACGGUAACAGGUCUUCGGAUGCUGACGAGUGGCGAACGGGUGAGUAAUACAUCGGAACGUGCCCAGACGUGGGGGAUAACGAGGCGAAAGCUUUGCUAAUACCGCAUACGAUCUAAGGAUGAAAGCAGGGGACCGCAAGGCCUUGUGCGUUUGGAGCGGCCGAUAGCAGAUUAGGUAGUUGGUGGGAUAAAAGCUUACCAAGCCGACGAUCUGUAGCUGGUCUGAGAGGACGACCAGCCACACUGGGACUGAGACACGGCCCAGACUCCUACGGGAGGCAGCAGUGGGGAAUUUUGGACAAUGGGCGAAAGCCUGAUCCAGCAAUGCCGCGUGCAGGAUGAAGGCCUUCGGGUUGUAAACUGCUUUUGUACGGAACGAAAAGGCUCUGGCUAAUACCUGGGGCACAUGACGGUACCGUAAGAAUAAGCACCGGCUAACUACGUG